rnacentral:lncRNA from 1 species
CAACUUUACUUUUCAUUUUUUCAAUAGGCAUAGGAGUUUGUUUCACAUGACUAACGGAACUUCUUCAUAGUGACUUCUGGAGAUCCUUGUAAGAAUGAUAACUACUAUCUCCUACUCUCGCUGAUGGCAGUGAUGGAGCAUAACACUGAUGUGUAGAAGGAUUGAUGUCAGCCCUUGAUCUUAUUUUGCCAAGCCACAGGAAGUAAGUCCUGAAGUCAAUGAAUGAAAAGUGAAAUACUCUCUCCAAGGCCUGUGCUAUGUGAUUACAAAGCUGCAUUCUUAUUAUGAGGUGUGCUCUUAGCAUUUGCCCUGCACACAUGCAAGUUCUUGUUGAUGGAAACCAAGAUGUGAACAGUGAGGGCCUGGAUCUGCCAGCCUGGAUAUCCUUUGCUUCUCUUCCUCCAACUACAACCACGCUG